rnacentral:rRNA from 1 species
CACGUAGGCGGCCUGUCAAGCGUCGGGUGAAAUCCCUCGGCUCAACCGAGGAAUGGCAAGGCGAACUGACAGGCUUGAGGCAGGUAGGGGCACAUGGAACUCUUGGUGGAGCGGUGGAAUGCGUAGAUAUCAAGAGGAACGCCGGUGGCGAAAGCGGUGUGCUGGGCCUGUCCUGACGCUGAGGUGCGAAAGCCAGGGGAGCAAACAGGAUUAGAUACCCUGGUAGUCC